AACGUAGGAGGCUAGCGUUAUCCGGAUUUAUUGGGCGUAAAGCGCGUGCAGGCGGUUUAGUAAGUUGGAUGUGAAAGCUCCUGGCUUAACUGGGAGAGGUCGUUCAAAACUGCUAGACUAGAGAAUGGGAGAGGGAGGUGGAAUUCCGGGUGUAGUGGUGAAAUGCGUAGAUAUCCGGAGGAACACCAGUGGCGAAAGCGGCCUCCUGGACCACUUCUGACGCUAAGACGCGAAAGCUAGGGUAGCAAACGGG
rnacentral:rRNA from 1 species